rnacentral:rRNA from 1 species
UGAAGCUGGAAUCGCUAGUAAUCGCGAAUCAGAAUGUCGCGGUGAAUACGUUCCCGGGUCUUGUACACACCGCCCGUCACACCAUGGGAGUCAGUAACGCCCGAAGUCAGUGACCCAACCGGAACAGGAGGGAGCUGCCGAAGGUGGGACCGAUAACUGGGGUGAAGUCGUAACAAGGUAGC